rnacentral:rRNA from 1 species
AAUGAACGUUGGCGGCGUGGAUUAGGCAUGCAAGUCGAGCGAGAACCCGCAAGGGGGACAGCGGCGAACGGGGUAGGAAUACGUAGGUAACGUACCCUCGGGGCGAGGACAGCCACGGGAAACUGUGGGUAAUACUCGAUAAACUUCCCAAUCAUUAUGGAAGGGAAGCAAUGGGUGUGAUUCCACCUGAGGAGCGGCUUACGCAGUAUCAGCUAGUUGGUGAGGUAACGGCUCACCAAGGCUACGACGCUUAGGGGGUGUGAGAGCAUGGCCCCCACCACUGGCACUGAGACACUGGCCAGACACCUACGGGUGGCUGCAGUCGAGAAUCUUCGGCAAUGGACGCAAGUCUGACCGAGCGACGCCGCGUGUGGGAUGAAGGCCUUCGGUUGUAAACCACUGUCAGAGGGGAUGAAGUGUACGAGAGUUAUCUCUUGUAUUUGACAGAGCCUCAGAGGAAGCAC